AACAUGUUGUGGAUAUGUGGUGGUAUUGAACAUGUUGUGGAUAUGUGGUGGUAUUGAACAUGUUGUGUUGUGGAUAUGUGGUGGUAUUGAACAUGUUGUGGAUAUGUGGUGGUAUUGAACAUGUUGUGGAUAUGUUGUGGUAUUAAACAUGUUGUGUUGUGGAUAUGUGGUGGUAUUGAUUAUGUUAUGGAUAUGUUGUGGUAUUGAACAUGUUGUGGAUAUGUGGUGGUAUUGAACAUGUUGUGUUGUGGAUAUGUGGUGGUAUUGAACAUGUUGUGGAUAUGUGGUGGUAUUGAACAUGUGGAUAUGUUGUGGUAUUAAACAUGUUGUGUUGUGGAUAUGCGUUUGUAUUGAACAUUUUGUGGUAUUGAACAUGUUGUGGAUAUGUGGAUAUAUUGAACAUGUUGUGAACAUUGUGGAUAUGUGGUGGUAUUGAACAUGUUGUGGAUAUGUGGUGGUAUUGAACAUGUUGUGGAUAUGUGGAGGUAUUGAACAUGUUGUGGAUAUGUGGUGGUAUUGAACAUGUUGUGGAUAUGUGGUGGUAUUGAACAUGUUGUGUUGUGGAUAUGUGGUGGUAUUGAACAUGUUGUGUUGUGGAUAUGUGGUGGUAUUGAACAUGUUGUGUUGUGGAUAUGUGGUGGUAUUGAUUAUGUUAUGGAUAUGUUGUGGUAUUGAACAUGUUGUGUUGUGGAUAUGUGGAGGUAUUGAACAUGUUGUGGAUAUGUGGUGGUAUUGAACAUGUGGAUAUGUUGUGGUAUUAAACAUGUUGUGUUGUGGAUAUGCGUUUGUAUUGAACAUUUUGUGGUAUUGUACAUGUUGUGGAUAUGUGGUGGUAUUGAACAUGUUGUGGAUAUGUGGUGGUAUUGAACAUGUUGUGUUGUGGAUAUGUGGUGGUAUUGAACAUGUUGUGGAUAUGUGGUGGUAUUGAACAUGUUGUGGAUAUGUGGAGGUAUUGAACAUGUUGUGGAUAUGUGGAGGUAUUGAACAUGUGGUUAUGUGGAGGUAUUGAACAUGUUGUGGAUAUGUGGUGGUAUUGAACAUGUUGUGGAUAUGUGGUGGUAUUGAACAUGUUGUGUUGUGGAUAUGUGGUGGCAUUGAACAUGUAGUGGAUAUGUGGUGGUAUUGACCAUGUUGUGGAUAUGUGGUGGUAUUG
ensembl:lncRNA